rnacentral:rRNA from 1 species
UACAGAGGGUGCAAGCGUUGCUCGGAAUUAUUGGGCGUAAAGGGCAGGUAGGUUGUCCUGCAUGUCUGUGGUGAAAAGCCUAGGCUUAACUUAGGUAGUGCCUCAGAAACGGCAGGACUAGAGUUCUAGAGGGGGCCGUGGAAUUCCCGGUGUAGCGGUGAAAUGCGUAGAGAUCGGGAGGAACACCAGAAGCGAAGGCGGCGGCCUGGAUAGAAACUGACACUCAACUGCGAAAGCGUGGGGAGCAAACAGG